rnacentral:rRNA from 1 species
GACGAACGCUGGCGGCGUGCUUAACACAUGCAAGUCGAACGGGUAAGCUCCAGCUUGCUGGAGUGGAUCAGUGGCGAACGGGUGAGUAACAUGUGAGCAACCUGGCCCUGACUCUGGAAUAAGCGCUGGAAACGGCGUCUAAUACUGGAUACGAGAAGGGUCCGGAUGGGCACUUUCUGGAAAGUUGCUCGGUUGGGGAUGGGCUCGCGGCGUAUCAGCUUGUUGGUUAGGGAAUGGCUCACCAAGGCGACGGCGGGUAGCCGGCCUGAGAGGGCGACCGGCGACAAUGGGACUGAGAGACGGCGCAGACUCCUACGGGAGGCAGCAGUGGGGAAUAUUGCACAGUGGGCGCAAGCCUGAUGCAGAGACGCCGCGUGAGGGAUGACGGCCUUCGGGUUGUAAACCUCUUUCAGCAGAGAAGAAGCGAAAGUGACGGUACCUGCAGAAGAAGCACCGGCUAACUACGUG